AUUCACACUGGUGAAAAGCCAUUUUCAUGUGUGAACUGUGGAAAACGUUUUAGUGGAAAAUGGAAUUUAAUUCAGCACAUGAUUAUUCACUCUGGUGAAAAGCCAUUUUCAUGUGUGAACUGUGGAAAAGGUUUUAGUCGAAAACAGCAUUUAACUCUGCACAUGAGGAUUCACACUGGUGAAAAGCCGUAGAACUAUUUUCCAUGUAUAUCCUGUGUUGAGGUUCACUAUAAAAGUCAUUCAGAUGUAAACUGGCGUUAUACACUGAAGGGCUUUCUUGUCUAUAAAGUGGGAAAAUUGUAACAUUUUCUAAUUUGUUAAAUGUUAUAAUUCGGAUCUUGACAUUUUGAUAUUUAGAGAUGUACAAUAAGAACUUGAAGGAUUGAUUUGUAUUAUUCUGUGGGGAGACAAUAAGUGGGGUGAAGGAGAUUUACUUGAAUACAUUUUUAAUCCAAAAUAAAAUGUGCUGUCGUGGGAUUUUCAUUAAUUGUUUUGGACUUUGAAAUUUUCUGUAUUAAAAAAUUCUUUGUCUUUAAAACAGAGCCAUAAUGAAACUGAUGCUGUUAUUUGUUCCAAAUUAUAUUAACCAGUCUAUGUAAAAUAUUUUCAAAUAAAUUAACCUGCCCUUUUACUGAGAAAAUGCAAUAAACA